CCCAGUCCCCGUCCCCCCCUUCCCUUGGUGGCUCUCGCAGCCGGCUCCGCUCCCGGCUCGGCUGCUCUUCGCGGGAGCGCUCUGACAGCACCUGCAGGACAGCGCGGGCACUCGGAGCCGGGAAGGGGAAUAAGGUUCCCAUAAUGAAUCUGCUGUGGACCCUACUGUUGAUUAAGAAAGGGCAUCAAGCAGUGAUCAGCAGGCUAAGGCUGGAGGGGACUGACACUUUCUUUGUGCUGCAGAACCUUCUUAUGAGGUGUAAGACUACAAGGAGACACGGAGAUUGCUGAGGAGGUCUGUACAGUAAUCCAGACAAGACUUGCAUGUUUUCUGCUCCAUUCUUUGGGUCAAGAACACACUGGUUAAUAGCCAAUUAUUUCAUACCCUAAGGAAAUUUUGGCAAAGAAGUUCCUGGGAAGAGUCAACUUGUUUUGGGAAAUGAGACUAAUAUUCUAUCCUGCAAGAUUAUUUUAUCCAUUAUGUGACCUUCUUACUUGACAUUCCUUUGUCAUUGCUCUGAAUCCAGGCACAAAGGGCUGAAGAAGGUUGGGGUGUGGAGGAAGGGAGAGGCCAGGAUUGUUACCCACAGCUCCCAAAGCAGGUGUGCCUGGGCAGGGCUGGGCUCUCACACUGCAGCUAAGGAGCAAGGUGACAUAUAACCCUUUCUUAUACUCAGGCUGGAAGUUGUGAUUGAAAAUCCCCACUCUCAAUACCUCUUGCCCAGACUUUACUGGGUUUCUACUAAUUCUCUGGCCUUCAGUCAAUGCACUGAGUGAUUAAAUUAUUAUCCCAGUAAUGAGAUUUGACACAAUCUAUGCCAGUUACCUGUGUGACCUGCUAAGUAGGUUAAUUGGCAACCCUGAAUAAUUAUCACCCACCUCAUCUUGCUGACUGAGAGUCUGACAAAUAAAUGAAACAUAAAAAUGCUGAAAAUGACACAUCAUUUUUAAUUUCAACUUCUGAAUUGUUUCAAAGAAGCCUUUUACUUAGUAGCUUAUUAAUAAAAGUAAGCAAUUGAAAAAAUACCUUGUGAACAUACUGGUUUGAUUAAUAUGUAGAUGUUUGCUCUUGUGCAUCAGCAAAGCUUCCUAGAGGAAAAAGAACUCUGUGGCAUAUUAGAGGAACAGGUCCCUCUAUUCUGCAAAUUGCUUAUAUAAGUCAAUUGUUGCAUCCUCAGAGACACUGCUCAAAAGUGAGGAAAAUUCAAGAAGUCAGUGAUAUUUGUGGUGACAUUGCAAGAAUUGUGUUUUAAUGCUUUUCUGUGAAAUCUUGAGAACUAAAAAUUAACUUUAUUGUUUAAUGAAAGCUGUGAUCCUUCUAUUCCCAUUUCUCAGGAAAGAGAGUUAAGAAAAAUAAAUAUGGUACUUGGUGAUGCUGACUUGUGUUGUGUAUCUAAUCUUUUCUACUUUGCUCACUUCUGAAAAGCCAGGAUGGUAUUUCUUUCUGUCCUAGAAAAUGUAAGAUUGGGGCUUAGAGAGGAAAAAUAAUGGACUCCUACAGAUGAGAAGAUGAGUUAAAAAUUUAAACUUGUGGUCUUUUCACAAGAUAAUCAGCUCAAAUUAAUGGUUCAGAACCACAGA